rnacentral:rRNA from 1 species
ACCCGCUGAACUUAAGCAUAUCAAUAAGCGGAGGAAAAGAAACCAACCGGGAUUGCCUCAGUAACGGCGAGUGAAGCGGCAAGAGCUCAAAUUUGAAAGCUGGCCCCUUCGGGGUCCGCAUUGUAAUUUGCAGAGGAUGCUUCGGAUACGGCCCCCGUCUAAGUGCCCUGGAACGGGCCGUCGGAGAGGGUGAGAAUCCCGUCUGGGACGGGGUGUCCGUGUCCGUGUGAAGCUCCUUCGACGAGUCGAGUUGUUUGGGAAUGCAGCUCUAAAUGGGUGGUAAAUUUCAUCUAAAGCUAAAUACUGGCCGGAGACCGAUAGCGCACAAGUAGAGUGAUCGAAAGAUGAAAAGCACUUUGAAAAGAGAGUUAAAAAGCACGUGAAAUUGUUGAAAGGGAAGCGCUUGCGACCAGACUCGCCUGCGGGGUUCAGCCGGGAUUCGUCCCGGUGUACUUCCCCGUAGGCGGGCCAGCGUCGGUUUGGGCGGCCGGUCAAAGGCCUCCGGAAUGUAUCGCCCCUCGGGGCGUCUUAUAGCCGGAGGUGCAAUGCGGCCUGCCUGGACCGAGGAACGCGCUUCGGCACGGACGCUGGCAUAAUGGUCGUAAGCGACCCGUCUUGAAACACGG